rnacentral:rRNA from 1 species
GUUAAAAAGCUCGUAGUUGGAUUUUGGUUAAGAGGGCGCGGUCGGCCGUUUGGUCUGUACUGCGUUGUCUUGACUUCCUGAUGAGGACAUGCUCUUGGUUAACGCUGAGACAUGGAGUCAUCGUGGCUACUUUGAAAAAAUUAGAGUGUUCAAAGCGGGCUUACGCUUGAAUAUAUUAGCAUGGAAUAACACUAUAGGACUCCUGUCCUAUCUCGUUGGUCUCGGGAUGGGAGUAAUGAUUAAGAGGAACAGUUGGGGGCAUUCGUAUUUCAUUGUCAGAGGUGAAAUUCUCGGAUUUAUGAAAGACGAACUUCUGCGAAAGCAUUUGCCAAGGAUGUUUUCAUUAAUCAAGAACGAAAGUUGGGGGCUCGAAGAUGAUUAGAUACCAUCCUAGUCUCAACCAUAAACGAUGCCGACUAGGGAUAGGUGGAUGUUAAUUGAUGACUUCACCAGCACCUUAUGAGAAAUCCAAAGUUUUUGGGUUCCGGGGGGAGUAUGGUCCGCAAGGCUGAAACUUAAAAGGAAUUGACGGAAGGGCACCACC